AUUGAACGCUGGCGGCAUGCCUUACACAUGCAAGUCGAACGGCAGCAUGGGUGCUUGCACCUGAUGGCGAGUGGCGAACGGGUGAGUAAUGCAUCGGAACGUACCCGGAAGUGGGGGAUAACGUAGCGAAAGUUACGCUAAUACCGCAUAUUCUGUGAGCAGGAAAGCGGGGGAUCGCAAGACCUCGCGCUUCCGGAGCGGCCGAUGUCGGAUUAGCUAGUUGGCGGGGUAAAGGCCCACCAAGGCAACGAUCCGUAGCGGGUCUGAGAGGAUGAUCCGCCACACUGGGACUGAGACACGGCCCAGACUCCUACGGGAGGCAGCAGUGGGGAAUUUUGGACAAUGGGCGCAAGCCUGAUCCAGCAAUGCCGCGUGCAGGAAGAAGG
rnacentral:rRNA from 1 species